rnacentral:misc_RNA from 1 species
AAGAGACGUUGCCCUUCGGGGUAUACCUCCCACCCUUUGUUUAUUAUACCUUUGUUGCUUUGGCGGGCCCGUCCUCGGACCACCGGCUUCUGCUGGUCAGUGCCCGCCAGAGGACCUAAAACUCUGUUGUUAUAUUGUCUGAGUACUAUAUAAUAGUUA